AGCGAACGCUGGCGGCAGGCCCAACACAUGCAAGUCGAACGAACUCUUCGGAGUUAGUGGCGGACGGGUGAGUAACACGUUAGAACGUGCCUUUUGGUUCGGAAUAACUCAGGUAGACUUGUGCUAAUACCGAAAGUGCCCUUCGGGGGAAAGAUUUAUCGCCAUUAGAGGUGCCUGCGUCUGAUUAGCUAGUUGGUGAGGUAACGGCUCAACAAGGCGACGAUCAUUAGCUGGUCUGAGAGGAUGACCAGCCACACUGGGACAGAGACGGGGCCCAUACGGAUUAGUGAGGAAGGAGCGGAGAACUGAGCCAACCGGCGAGAGUGCGACGUGGCCAUGCUGCGUGAAUUAAGCAGGUUUUAGGAGAGUAAAAUUCUUGCUACGGGGAGGAUAUUGACGGUACCGUAAGAAGAAGCCCCGGCUAACUUCGUG
rnacentral:rRNA from 1 species